UUAUCUCGCGAGAUAGUGGUCACGUCACGCGUUCUUCCGGAAGUUCACAUUCAAACACGAGGAGCGGUUACGAGGGAGUUUUGUCUAUAUAUUAUGCAAAAUCUACUGUUGGGAAAAGCAGAACCUCAUCCAAAUAAAAAUAAACAAGCUGUUAAAGGCACUGUGUCCUACACAGACCCUCCAAAAUAUAACCACCCAAAACCCAAGUCAGUUGAAGAUCAACACAAACCAAAUAAAGAUGCGCAUUCUACAAACGAUAAAAAAAGAUCAAGUUUUGUGUCCAACACACUUGGAUGAGACGUGCCCGACCCCUGACUGUGUCUACCCUACAUUAAGUAGCACACUUCAUGACAGUAAACAUCGGUAUCAAGAUGGUGUGAUUGAUCUAUACCCUGGCCUAGAAUAAGCUGUGACACUAUGAGACGGUCACAUAAUGAACAGCCAUCUUACAGACAACCGAAAGAGUAUUCUCUACAAUCCCAAAUUCUGGAUUGACGCCCCAGUACCAGAGGGCACCCCAAUCCCAUAGAGCAUCCAUCUGAAAGCAGGUGAGGUAACACAAGAAAAACUAACAGGAUGAAGACUACCUGAUUCUUCACCUAUGGCCUUAGCUUCAAAUGCAAGAAUAGGUCCAGCAACUGUCUGAGCUGGUGGAUAUUCUGUCAGAGACUGCGUGAACAAUGUUAUGAACAGGAUUUAAUCUGUCACACAUUACUUGUCAGAAGUUUUAAUGUUCGUAGUGGCUCAAACAGUCAGCCAUACUGAAAACAAGAAAUCAAAACAUAAUUUCAGUAAUGAUGUCUAAUUGUCUUAUGGCAAAGUUCAAUAUGAGGGGUGGUGGACAUCUGGAAAAGAAGUCUUUUAAAGGCACACCUUUGUAUUAUGUUAUUCAAGAUGCUGUGAAGAGGUGGAGCCCAAAUGCCACAGACUCGGAAAUAGAUGCAGCUAUGGCAGACGACCUCAAGCUAAAUAAGCCAAACAGCUGUAAUGUGUUAAAGAGAGAGUUCACCCAAAAAUGAAAAUUGUUAUAAUUUUUUUACCCACAUGUUUCAAACCUGUAUACAUUUCUAUUUUCGGCUGAACACAAAGAUUGAAAAAUGUUUGUAACCAAGCUGUCAAUAAUUUUUUUUACAAUUGUAGUACUGGGUUGUGAGAUCUGCUUUCUAUUCUUUCAAAUAACUUUGUGUUCAGCAGAACAUAGAAAAGUAUACAGGUUUGAAACAUAAGAGAGAGUAAAUUACUAAAUAAUCAUUUUGGGUGAACUAUCCUUUUAUAGAGUAAAGUAUUUUGAAAUUGUUAUUAUAGUUAAACGGUUUAAAAAAAUAAAAA